CACGCCGUAAACGAUGUCAACUAACUGUUGGGUUCUUAAAGAACUUAGUAGUGGAGCUAACGUAUUAAGUUGACCGCCUGGGGAGUACGGCCGCAAGGCUAAAACUCAAAUGAAUUGACGGGGGCCCGCACAAGCGGUGGAGCAUGUGGUUUAAUUCGAUGCAACGCGAAGAACCUUACCUACCCUUGACAUCCAGAGAAUCUGUUAGAGAUAGCGGAGUGCCUUCGGGAACUCUGAGACAGGUGC
rnacentral:rRNA from 1 species